rnacentral:lncRNA from 1 species
UGCUUGUUAACUGAGACAUGAGGAAUGAAGCCUGAGGGAAGGAAGGAUUUUCCUUAGCACCGGGGACAAUGUCCUUAGAUUGUUACUGCCAACCAAGUUGCAUUCAUUUGUCAUUUAAGCUUAAUAACUGUAUGAACAUGGGAAAUUACUUAAUCUCUCUGCGUCUCAGUUUCUUCAACUAUAAAAUAACAAUGCUGCUGCUGCUGCUGCUGCUGAUGAUGAUGAUGAUGGUGAAGAUGAUGACACCUAUUUCAUGGGGCUGUUGUGAAAAUUGAGAUGAUCCCUGUUAAGUAUUUAGCAGAGUGCCUGACAGUGAGUGCUCAAUCACUUAUUAUUAUUGCUGGUAAUACUGUCGUUAGCAUUACUUUUGCUGUUAUUAAUGUAGUGUGAUUUAUUUUUAAAUUAGGGUCAAUUGAAGGAACUGGGAAUAUUUUGUGAGUAAGGGUUUUUAUGUAUAUCACAUUCGUUCUUCUCAUAACCUGCCACCCUCCUCAUUUUUGUUACUGGGAAUGAAAUCGACUUCAAAAUAAACCUAAGAACCCGGACUCCCUUGGAUCUGACACUGACCCCAGACGCCAAGCCACAGAGGAGUAUGCUGCAGUCAUUCUCUCUUUGAAAUUCUAAUUAAAAAUACAUUUUAAAAGUUUUUUAAAUGCAUGUUUUUCUUGAAUUCUGAUAUGAGCCAUGCAAUAUAAAAUGGCACUGUAACAUCUCUUCAAAUAUGCGCACUUCUAUUCACAAUAGUAUUUUAAAAAGUAAUCUUACAAAAGUUUUAUUUAAAAAUACCUUGCCAGGUGUGGUAGUGCAUGUCUGUAGUCCCAGCUGUUCAGGAGGCUACCCCUCUUGGGUUUGUUUUCUCUAAAAUAAACCUGUCCUUAAUUGUCAAGACACCGUUCAUGUUUCUUUCCUCUUUCUUUAAUUCUUACAGGGGUGGGAAGAUUGCUUGAGCCCAAGUGUUUGAGACCAACCUGGGCAACAUAGUGACACCUUGCCUUUACAAAAAAAAAAAAAAAAAAAAUUCUAGAUUUAAGCAUUUUGGUAAUGCUUCCAUUUCACUGCUUCUUUCUUAACUGUUUUGGUGUGAUUGCGAUCCAUUUUGUAGUUCACUAAUUUGGUAUUUAACUGAACUGAUCUGUCAGAUCUAUCAAAACAUGGGCUGUUGAUACAAUUUGAGCUAUUUCUUCAUCGUACCUGUGUUUACUUUGAGAGUUUAUCAGCGAAUGUUUAUCAGGAAUUUGGAAGCCUAGCAGCAAGGUGAAUUCUAGAAGAAAAAAAAAUCAACAACAUAUGCUCUACAUUUUUUUCAAUACUAAAUUGAUCAUCUCAAACAUUAUUUUCACUACAAAAAC